rfam:Haemonchus placei strain MHpl1 genome assembly, scaffold: HPLM_scaffold0002807
GGCCCAAAUUUGAAGUGGAGUAGAUAAGUAGGAUUGGCUGACCCUACUAGACUACUCUACUUCAAGUUUGUGCCC